rnacentral:rRNA from 1 species
UACGUAGGGGGCAAGCGUUGUCCGGAAUCAUUGGGCGUAAAGAGCGUGUAGGCGGCUCGGUAAGUCCGCUGUGAAAGUCCAGGGCUCAACCCUGGAAUGCCGGUGGAAACUGUCGAGCUAGAGUCCGGAAGAGGCGAGUGGAAUUCCUGGUGUAGCGGUGAAAUGCGUAGAUAUCAGGAGGAACACCUGCGGUGUAGACGGCUAUCUGGACGGUUACUGACGCUGAGACACGAAAGCGUGGGUAGCAAACAGG